ACUUUCUUAGUAUAAUAAAUACAAAUGACUUCCAAUCAUUAACUCUUGAGUAAAUUCAUGAGAAAGUA
rnacentral:tRNA from 1 species